rnacentral:lncRNA from 1 species
UUUUUUUUUUCUGGGUUUUCUUUAUCAAAAAGUUUUUGUGAGGAAUAUAUUGCUGACUGAUGUUAGUAAGGCAGUGACAUAUAAAAUUGUUAAUUGUGAUAGAAAAAUAAAAUUUCUUUUGGUUGCUGUGAUGAAAUGUGGCCAAUGAGCACUUGGGCAUCUCUCUUGAUAUAGGCUCUUUAUAGUUCCUACAGCAUUGACCAGUGAAUAAUUGUAAUAUAGGCAGUGUAAACCCACGUUCGUAAAAGAAAGGUGAAUGAAAGAGUUAAUAAAUUUGAUGUACUCAAAUCCAGAAAAUAAGAUUUACAGUGAUUGUUGAUUAUCUGAAAUCCAGAAAAUAAGGUUUUACAAGGGGUUUAUAAGUUUGGUAUGAAAGGAGGGUGCUCCUCUCCUUUUAUUCUUUUUCUUGGUCUGUCAGUGACGUGUAAUGGCCUCCCUGCCAUUGGGCCACCUGUCUCUACCAUACGAAUACGGUCGUACGAAGAUAUCAGUCCUCUGCUCCAUGCGUAACGGCCAUUUAAUUCUCCCUUCUAGCACACGGGUUAACCGAGCAAUUCGGAAUCGAGCCAGUGGUCCUCACUUUGCUAAGCUUCCAAGCCGAACUCGGGUAGAGAAGGCUGGGUCCUGAGAAAAGGCCGAUCUCAAGGACGAAUGGGUUGGAUCUUCUCAUUUACGGGAUUCCGCGGGUCCUGGACCGACCCUAUCACUAUGGGCUCGGCCUCUUAUCAGGGUAAUGAAACCCAGCGGUUAUCAAUUGUGUAAUAAGUUGUUCCUCCCUUCUAUUCUUUUUUUUCUUUUUUCUGUUAAUGAUGUUUAAUUACCUUUCUACUACAGUGCCACGUGUCUCUAUCACUGAAAUCCGUACGUACAGAUGUGUAAGGUCCUCUCUCCACGCCAGACAGCCAUUUAAUUCUCCCGGCAUGCAUACAGAUAGGGCUGUAAGGGGAUCGGGUCUGCUUUCCUACCUCUUGUCACAUAGAAAUAAAAAUUAAUUUUAAAUAAAUUUUUUGAAAAUAAAAAAUUAAAUUAGUCGAAGGAACUAUUGUUUAAUUAUAAGCUAACAAAGGUAGGCAUAUACAUGUAAAAAAAGAAACAACAAUGGUCUAAAUUGGGCCUUUGAGGAACUUUGAAGAGGGACGGUGGUCCUUACUUGGGCUUUUACAAUAAAGGGUAGUGUCCUAAAAAGUUUUAGAUAGGCUGUUUCCUAUAUGCAUUGCUUUUCCAUGGGAACCUCCUACAAGAAUCCAAAGAUGGCAGUUACAACAUGCACCGCUCCAAUUCUUUUUUUUUUUCUUUGCAUAAAUUUCACAUGCCAAUAAUCCUAAUUUAGAACCUAAAUAUUUUAUAAAUUUAGAUCUUGUUUGGUUUCUAAUGUAUUAAUUUUCAGAAAAUUCUUUUUUAAAAAAUAAAUUAAAAUGAGUAAUGAGAAAUAAUUUAUAUGGGUGUUUUAAUUUAUUUAAAAUUAAAUUGAGUUGUUAUUUUUAAUUUUUUUUAAAUAAUCGACAGCUCGGAGUCGAUUUUUCACAAUUUUAAUAUCCAAUAAAAGAAAUUAAAAUAAAAAAGAAUAUUCGUUCAUGUUUUUACGCCAGACAAAAGGGAUAUUCACAAGGACGAUAUGAAGGAAUAUCAGGACGCGUGUCACGAGGGAAUCUUUUCCGCUCUUUCUCUCUUUCUUUCUCUUUUAUACCCUAAUAGAAACAUAAUUAAAUAAAAGAUUAAAAAAAAAAAAAACUCACAUUACAUGCAAACGCAUAAAGAGAGAAUUAAAGGAGAAGAAGAAAAGAAAAUCACAGAGAGAAUCUGCACAAAAGGUGUGGGUUGGAGCCUUCUACUACAAGCCUUCAUUCAUAACCCUGUGCAGAAAUUUAAAAAAAAUAAUAAAAAAUAUAAUGUUUUGUUUAUUAAAAUUAUUUAAUUAUUUUAUGAUUUUAUAAUUUAAACGAUAUUAAAUUUAUUUUUAAUAAUUUCUAUUUUUUAAAAAAAAUAACAAAUCUGAUAAUAAUAUCAAAGAAACCCUUUGGAAUUGUGGUUGAGUCGUAAUGCAGUGGAAUUCGAUGCGCUUCUCUUUGAGGAAGAAGAUGACUUUCACCUUUAUCUUUCACGGAAAAGGCAGGCAUUUCUAAUCACUGCUGCCUCGCUCGGACUUAAUUACACUGUAAUAAUAUUAAUGGAUAUGAAUAAUCCCAUCAUAUUCCGACCCGGAUCCGAGUAGUGUUAAGGAAGUUGCAGGUUUUUUUUUUUUUUAAUGAAGAUGAAGAUGAAGAUUUAAAGAGAAUCUUGUUACCUUCCUAGCCACUUCAUUAAAGCGAGUAGCAGAAGAAGAUUCCCAGCCCUUAUUAUUAAGCAUUGUGGGUUGUGGUAGCUAAUAGCUCUCCUCCUUAAUUUAGAGUCGUAGAAUUGGAACUAAGAUAUUCCUUCCUUGGAGCCAAAUAUUUUAUUCUUUUAUUUAUUUAUUUAUUAUUAUGUUAUUUGGAUUACAUAUUCUCUUUCUUUUAAAUUUAACAGCAAAUUAUGCAACUUUUGAAACCAAAAAGAAAGUUGCUUGGUGGAUUCAUUCUCAAUUAUGCCAUUUGAAUAUGUCCUCUUUCUUUCUCUCAUUCAUUUCUUCGUAUCUACUUUUCUUUUUACCCCUACAUCCCUUUAUUAAUUAGAAUUCUUCUUAUUAUCACAAAAUUAAGAAGCUGGGGUUCAAUCAUCUUAUCGAAAACACUACUGAUUUAGAAAGCCUAAACACGAGUACAUCUGAAAGGGGAUCUGAACCAGCUGAUGCAUGCCACGAGUGUCUGAUUCAUCCACAUGAAGUGUUAAGAUAAUCUACGUAUACAUGAAAGAAUGAGAGAUUAAAAGAUCGUUAAUGGGGUUUGAUUUAAAAAGUGGGAGAAGAAUCAUAGACUUGUAGCUAGGCUAAUAAAAUUAAAGGAAAGAAAAAAGGAAUAACAGUAGAGAGAAGAAUCAUCUUUUAUAGAGAUGAUUUAAAUUCGUAUAAAGACUGAUAAACUAAGCAAAUGACUCAUGUAGUGUCAGAGUCCUGAUUCCUUCUCUAAUUUUUUUAGCUUUUUUUUUUGUUCUUUGCAAGAAGUUACCAUCCUUCUUUAUCUCUCAAUAGCUUUAAUUUCUUCCUUUAAUUUCUUUUCUCUUUCUCUCUCUUAAAACCCUACUUUAUUCCUUCUCUUCAGCUCACCUCUAAAAAGAAGACGGUCCUGCCUCAAAUCCUCCUUGUGUUCAGAGAAAACAGCUUCUUACUUUCUUUGUUUCUCUCUCUGACCUACUUCCAACUCAUAUCCUGUUCUUGUUUUUAGUAUGAACGUUGAGAACAAGAACGUGUUUCUUGAGUAGAGUGGGUUUUGUUUAUUGAUUCUUGCUGCUGUUUCAUUAAUUUACGUGAAAAUUUUUAGAGGGUAUGGCCUCUCCAUCUGAGCUAACCCUGGAUUGUAGACCUCAGAGCUAUUCUAUGCUAUUGAAAUCUUUUGGGGACCAGAAUGAUCACACUCUAAAGAUUGAAGAGUUUCUCUCUUGCCUUGAGGAAGAAAGGCUAAAGAUUGAUGCAUUCAAGCGCGAAUUACCCCUUUGCAUGCAACUUCUCACCAACGGUAUUUGGAGUCUUCAUCCUCUUUCUCUCAUGCAUUUUUCUAUAAACACACAGUUCUUAAACAUUUUGAUGCUUGAUGACAAAAGGAACAUAUAUCUACUGAUGGAUUCAUGCCCAUUAUUCUUAGACAAAAAUUUUAUAUUAUUACAGUAGAGAUAGAGAUGUGGAUAUUCAUGUGAUCUCUCCCUAAAUCCUAAGUUUUAAACUUUUCCUCUAUCCUUUUUCAUUUAUAGAAGUUUGAGAUGGCUUUCUAUUCGUGCGAUUUUGUUUGUCAUUUAUUUUCUUUGGUCUUAAAGUGGUUAGCUAUAGUUUUCAUAUAUUUCUUCUAAAAGAAUCCAAGUCAUCGUAGUUUAACGAAAGCAGGUUGAUGAUAUUUCAUUUAGUCACUAUUUUCAUUCUUCUUUUUCUUCCUCAGCUAUGGAGACUUCAAGGCAGCAAAUACAAGCCUAUAGAGCAAAUCAGGGGCCAAGGCCAGUGCUUGAAGAAUUCAUACCACUCAAAAACCAUGCCUCUGAAACCUUGGAUAGAUCGUCAAACAUCUCCGAUAAGGCAAACUGGAUGACUACAGCACAACUGUGGAGCCAAGACAGCAAUGAAACCAAACCUCAAACCACAUUAACCACUUCCCCUAAAGAAACUAAUAUAGGAUUCAAUGUUAGUCCCAAGCUGGGUUUAGACACCAAACAAAGAAAUGGAGGAGCUUUCCUUCCAUUCUCAAAAGAACGAAACUUGUGCCCAAGCCCAACUUUAGCUCUUGCUUCUGCUGAUCAGCAAGAAAUGGAAAACAAGAAAUGUUUGGAAAUUGAAAAUGGGUUUUCUUGUUCAAAAAGAGAAAAUUCUGGCAAGCUUGGCAAUAAUAAUGGUGGGGCUAUAGUAAUUGAACAAACAAAAGGAACAGGUAAUUCAUCUUCAGAUGGGCAAGCAACAAAUACUGGGACAAGUAAUGGUGCAGAUAAUACAACUACUAGCACUACAACGGGCAGCCAAACUCAUAGGAAGGCAAGGAGGUGCUGGUCCCCGGACUUGCACCGGAGAUUCGUGAAUGCUCUGCAAAUGCUUGGCGGUUCUCAAGGUAAAUAUCUAUACAUGUCAUCUGAUAAACGUCUUAAUUAUUUUCUUCAUGAUUGCUUUUCUUGAUUCUGUUAAAUACUGGUAUUUGAUUGGUUUCUUUCAUAUUAAAUUAAACAGUGGCCACACCAAAACAAAUCAGAGAGCUCAUGAAGGUUGAUGGAUUGACAAAUGAUGAAGUUAAAAGCCAUCUGCAGGUAUAUUUCUACGAUGUUUUAGAUUCAGUUUCAGUUUCACAUUCAGGGAUGCAUGAAAGAGGCUUUGUGUGUAAAAUUUCUUUUGAUCUGACAAUAUACACACUCGCAGACAAUGCAGAGUUUGUACUGCACAGUGCAUAUACUUUGAAUAUUUUAUAAAAUUAGUGGGUAGAGUACAGAUCAGUUCAUGAUGAUAUUUUAAUUGGUGGUGGUGGCACAGAAAUAUAGGCUGCACACAAGGAGACCUAGUCCAAGCCCACAAGCACCUGGAGCCCCAACACCUCAGCUCGUCGUUCUAGGAGGCAUAUGGGUCCCACCGGAGUAUGCCACAGCAGCUGCAGCAGCUCACAGCGGGGCCCCUACCCUCUAUGGUACACACCCAGCUUCCCAUGCACCGCCGCCUCACUUUUGUGCCGCACCACCUGUGCACCAAGACUUUUAUACUGCAGCAGCAGCAACUCCAUCGCCGCAGCAGCCUCCACACCACCACCUGCACAGCACACUACAUCACCAACUCCAUAUGUAUAAGGCCACAUCACAGGGUCAUAGCUCCCCGGAGUCCGACGUAAGGGGAACUGGAGACAGGUCUGAAAGCAUUGAAGAUGGCAAGUCAGAGAGCAGCAGCUGGAAGGCUGAAAGUGGCGAGAAUGGCGGAGAAAGAAAAAGUUGGCUGCAUUGAGAGAAGAAGAUGAUGAAAGCAACGGAAGUGAGAUAAGUCUUAAGCCUGUGCUUGCGGUAUUAGAGAUUAGGGUUAAUUAGGUUUUGGAGUUCUAAUUUCUAACGUUGAUGUGCUAUGUACUAAUUAAUUCUAUUCUACAUUUGAUGUCGAAAAUCUUCUAGAGAGAGAAAGAGAGAGAAGGGUAAAAAAGGUAAAUCGAUAAAGUGAGUGUUUGUUUUUUGCUAUUCAUAACAUCCACCAUGAAAAUGAUUGAAACAUUAUGCUUCAUUUUUGGCUUCUUGUGGUUUCGGCCUCAUGGACAGAUUUGCCCUUAUGAUCACACACAAUGACUGUCGGUGCUAGGGGAAAUUGGGACGUCGUGCCAUUGUCAGUUAAAAAAAAUAUUACUUUAAAUAUAUUGAUUAAAAAUAUUAAGAAUCAAUUUAAAAUCAAGUUCAAUAUAUUUUAGUAAUUAAAAAAUAAAAUAGUUUUUUAAAAAUUGCUUUUAGUAGUGUCUAAGUUUUUUUGUUUAAAAAAAGAAGCUUUUUUUAACUUAAAAUUCGAAUGCAAUCCUUUAGUUUACAUGAAAAAAUUAUGCGGCAAUGCUACACUUAACAAGGAAGCUAAAGAUGGGAUUAGAAAAGAGAAACCGAAAGUGGGAGAAGGGAGAUGCUUGAUUUCUUUCUUUCUUUCUUUCCAGCCUGACAUAAACUUCUUACAAGCUUUCUUAAAAACACAUAACCAGCCUUUCUAAUUGUUGCUUUGCUUUGCUUUUCUUUCUGUAGUUUAAGUUAAAUUCUUACAGUAACCUUCAAUUUGAGCUGCACAAAAAGAAAAAUCGUAUCUUAGUAUUCACACACCAUGUGUUUUCGCUUUCGAUAAAGUGAACAUUCAAGGAUAUUGCAUCCUUUGAAAGGAUUAAAAUUUUCCCCACAUUGAAACAUGAGCUUUGCUUUACCAUUUUUCUAUUGCCAGUCUGACAAUUUUUUCUUAUUUUUGCCUGAAUAGGAAUACUUUCAUCUCAAAAUUUAUGGGAAUGGAAUUUUAUCUGCUUGAUAUCUUACUGAAAAUUAAAAUGUCAAGCAUGUAGCAUCCCACUCCAUGCCCUUUGUAAGACUGAAUGAAGGUAUGCAAAUUGAUAUCUAAAGCCCAAACUGUAGGGUAGUGUAGUUUAUGAAAAUGACUACAUUUUGGAUAACCCAUUAAAAAAAAACCUAAAGGAUGUGAUAUUGAUGGAAUCAGAAAGAUGAGAUUGGUAGUUAGAUAACUCAAAUUGGAAGGAGCAGAGCAAUAUCUGAUAUUUCUACUUAGUUUAAAAACGAAAUUACAUCACAAUUACUGAGCAGAGUCAAGCAUUACAAAGUACAUAUCUUCAUCCAUAAAGUAAAUCUUUUCACUAAUCUUCUGCACCAAAAUCAAGCAUUGCCGUGUAUUAGAACUCCAUCCCUCAUUCCAACAUCAUCAGCCACAUCACUUUCUAUCAUUGUUGAAUCAACAAGAGACUGCAAAGAAAAGGUUCAUGCCAUGAUUACUACUUUCAUGAUCAGAUGAAUGAAGUGCCACAUAAGAAUAGGAGAUCACAACAGUUUACCAAGUUUUUUUUGAAAAAAAAAAAGUUCACAAGUUCACAAAAGUAUUCAUGAUUGCCACGCCAGAUAUACAUGUAUAUUUUUCUUAAUAUCAUAUAUAUGUAUCACCGUUAUCCACUCCAACCACACAACAGAGAAUUAUUUGUUGCAAAGCCACACAAAUUAAAAACCAAUUUUUUUCUUUGGUCUUGUUUUCUGAUUGUCCUACACUUAGAUUUUAGGCAAAGCAUGUGCUGCAGCAGAACAUAUUAACUCAAUUCAGGCAAGCAACCAAUAAGAAAACCCAACUGCAUAUUUCAUUAUCUUCUAGAUAGAUUAAAUGAGCACAAAACUGCCAAUGAUCAUCAGAUGGACUGCCAAUGAUCAUCAGAUGGACUGCCAAUGAUCAUCAGAUGGGUCUGAUGCUCACAAGAGAGUGAAUUCACAACAAUUAUGGCCUCUUAUAAAAACUUGAGUUUGCUUUAUUUUUCUCAACAUGACUGUUAUUUGCCCAUUUAAAUUUGUUUUUGCUCAAAGACCAAAUAAACCCAAUUCAAUUUUUUUGGCUAACUAAAUCCCUAUACUUUUACUCAAGUGCCAAAUAAAGUCUUGCGGUAAUACAACAUUAUUUUUUAAUAAUAAAAUAUUAUUUUUAAUAAAAUAUUAUUUAUAUUAUAAAAUUUCAUUUUUUGUAAUUUUAAAAAUUAUUUACUAUUUCUAUGUAUUUUUUAAUUUUUACGUUAAUUAAAAUACUAAAUUUUUGAUAUUUCAAAUUUAAAAAUAAUAUUAUAUUAUGUUACAACUUAUUUGACUUUAAGUAAAAAUACAGAAGCUUAAUUAUUUGGACUUAUUUAGUCCUUGAGCAAAAGUAUGGAGGCUUAAUUGGACUUAUUUUUGGUAAAUAUUCACUAGAAUCAGAGCUAGUUUUGCUGUUUGGACUUAUUACAUUUCAUUAAGGAAUAUAUUUAUGCGUUCACCAAGAACAAAAAAAAAAAGAAUAUAUUUAUGUAAAGAUGUACAACUACUAUCUAGUGAAUAUCAAUUGGGGUCAGCUUAAUUGGUAUGCCUCUAGGUAAUUAGGGGUCAUGGAUUGAAGCCCAAGCACUUCCUUAGAGAGAAGAGAGAGAGAGCACAACAAUCAAAGUAGUGAUUUUCCCUAAAAAGCUUUCUCUGACCAAGGCAGCUUGAGGAAGGCAUGAAGCACUACACAUUCACAUACUUAUAAAGGCCCUAAGAAAAUACAAUUCAAGUUGCAAGAAUAUGUUGCCUGAUCUAGAAAUGGUGCAGGCAGUAGCCAGUAGGAGAUUCCGAAUAUAGCAUCUUGUCAACAUUCUACGAUACACAUGCAACACAUGAUAAUUGUGCAAGAAAAUAUAUGAAAUUCUGUUAUCACAUACAUGCAGCACAUGUACUAAUGCAUUGUAAAAGAUAAAUUGAAACAAGCUACCAUUUUUUAAAAGACAAGAAAAAAAAAAUAUUGCGCACGUAGACGUAGUAAUGGGAAAGCAAUCAAAAUGGGUCAGAACCAAUUCUAUUAUGGAAACAAGCCUGCUUCUUGAUGGGAACAUGGAAGGCAUUAAUUUACAAAAAAUAAGAUCCUGUGAUAGCAGAUAUGCAAUAGCGGCAUGAGUGAAGCCAACCAGAAACAAUUAAGUGGAACAUUAGAUUGAUUAAUGGUGCACUCCUUAAUGCACACAAUUGGUAGAGGCUGACCUGAAGUUCCUGUUCACAACUCUUAAGUCUUUCAGAGUAUUCUUUCACUUGCAGAAAACUUUUAUGCAGCUGCAAGUUGUACCCACACAUGCAAUUAAACAAAUGAAAGCAAAAGCUCAAAAAGGUUUCAAGAGUCUAAUUGGUAACAUUAGGGAUUACCUUGGUCAAUUGCACCUUAUUAUGUGAAGAGCGCUUCUUUGCAGCAAUCAAAGCAUCCUCCAGCUUCUGCAUUCACCAUUAAAAUUCUAAGUGGGGAUGAAAAGCAGGGCCUUUUUAUAAAACUCAGUAGCAACAAGCAAGGAUGGAACACAGUUUGGAGUCUUUGGACUAAAAGAGAAAACUCUUGUUUCGCAAUUAGAAAACACAUACCUGAGUUCUUUUCCGCAAAUUUGAAACAAGUUGCUGUUUCUCUUCUAACCUCUCUUCCAUCUCAGAGAUCUGAUUAGGCACUAAAAUUUAGCCUUCCCUUCUUUUAACAAAAUGCCAAAAUGUGCAGUGAUAUCAGGAAUAAUCGAUUAUGAUGGCACCUAAGAAAGUUGCAAAAUCAACCUUUGCAAACUUGGAAGGCAAUAUACUGAUUCCAAAGAAAAACUCUCCCCACCCGAGUGUACAACUUGACUUGUACACUCAACCAAUAAGGAAUCAAGAUAGCAUGAUCCUAGGUACAACCUACCAUGAGUUUAUACAGGACCUACCCUAAUUUUAGAUAAUAUGUUACAUGUAGAGUGAAGGGCCAUAUACUAUAUACACCCAAUUGUAGGCAAGAAAAACUUGACUCCAAAUAAAUGUAAUAUGGACAGGACAUGCAUGCAUGUCAAAAUAUUUGGCUGCAUGAAAUAGGAUUUAUGCAUUUAUCCAUAAUAAUGUGACAAAAUAUGAAGAAUUACAGUCUUUGAUUUAGACCUCCUUUUUAAGUUCAUCACGCCUCUGAAUUGAUCUCUCCAAUCUUUCUUUUACCUGAUAAAGAAGGACAAAAAAUAGUAGACUUAAGUACCUCAAAUUCCACACAGCAUGUGCUUAUGCAUUAUUUAAAAAAUGUAAUUGUGAGCUUACCUCAUCAUUGUAAUCAUCACUAGUAUCUGAAGACAUUUCCCUACUAUGUUGAUCAUUAUAUCUAGAACUGUCAAAAGGAAAGAUAUGGCAAAGUAAAUCUCAACCUGAUGCAAAAACAUGAAAACCUUACUCAGUUGUCUCAGAAGACAAACUAUUCUAAUAUGCUGGCUUUACAACCAAACAUAGCAACAUGCUACUUGCACAGCAAGACAUGGAUAAAAGCUACAGACAUUCAGAUUAUAUUAACCAUUAAUAUCUGAUCCCAUAUGAUGUAGAUGCAAAUAUUUAUCUUGGUUACUGUUUCUCUCAUAGGAUUACUAAAUUAGUACUAAGCAAACGUUGGAAGGAGUAGGAAUAUAACUUGUUGAAACAACUCCAAAUUGGAGUAUACCAGAAAAUUAAAGGGAAUAAAAGUUCAAGGAAAACCAAAAACAAAAUUGCUUAGGCCAUUUUAGUGAUGAAGAAUCUAGUUCCAAGUCCAAUUUAACAUGGAGUCUGCCUGUUUGUUGAUCAUAUACUCCUGAGCUCAUAUUCCUCAACAUGGUACAGUGCAGUGAAGCCCAACAGCCGUCAAUCUGAACCUAAAAGCAUAAUGGGCUAAGUCUAAAGGACCCAUAUCCAUGAGUUGAGACAAAACAAUGAGUCAGAUGCAGGUGGAGCAUGAGCUAGCCAAAAGGAGCUAGACUCUUGAGGACAAAGCUAAAAGGAGUCAGACCCAAGUUAGAUGGGCCGACCCAUAAAAUUCCAAGUGACAACUGGGCCUGCAAAGCAUAAGCUGAACCAAGUCCCACAUCGGCUAUGUCCUAGAAAAUUAAAGCACAUAUAAGUUCAAGGCUAACCAAAAAAACCAUGUUGAUGAGGGGAAGCACAGUUUUGAGUGCAAUUCAGUAUAGAAGCAUGUUUGUUUGUUGAUCCACACUCAGACCCAUAUUUCUCAACAACUACCAUAAAUGCUUUACAGUUUUAGAAUAAGCAUAUUUUUGCAUGACAAUCACACAUCACAUUUCACAAUCAGAAGUGUGUUAUGCAGAUAGAUGGAACAAACUUCAAUAAGCAUGCCAAUCAAAGCCAAGUAGUUUCUUAGAAGCAAUCUAAUCCCCUUCAAAAUAGCAUUUCCCUAGAAAGUCUUCUGAUGUCAAUUAAUUGGAAGUUCAGUGUGCCGAGGUAAUCAAACUUUAAAGAGACAGCACAUGAACAAGAUAUGAGUCAAUUAGCAUCAUGCUGCAACUUUCAUUCCCACUUAUCACAAAGUGCCAGCAAUAGGCAUAUAACAUAUUCAUAAUUAUAGCACUAACUCUCCAACUUUGUUCCUUCUUAGAUCCACAAGUCCAUAACAAUCAUAGUUAUGUUGUAAAAUUUACACAAAAAAUUAAAUAAACAAAAAAAAAAAACUUUUUGGUCAAGUGGCAAUAUCCAUGCAAGCAAAACUUUAAAGAAUACAAUGUAGCAACUAGCAACCAACAUUGUCCACAUAAACAACACAUAGUAAACCUUCUACAAGUAUUCGAUGAGAAAAAAGAACUAUCAAAUAUUAAGAUUUGAUUUAAAAGGGGAAGAAUCUUACUCAUUGUGUUUCCCUAAUUCUGGAUCUUUAUCCUUGUCAACAAGUUCAUGAUCAUCAUUAGUUCCAUCCAUCUCCCUUUCUUGAUCCCAAUGUAAAUCUCGACCUCUUUCCUGAUUCCAACUGUUGUUCCUUCCUUCUUCUUGUUCAUUACCAACCAGGUCUAUCUCUCGGCUAUGAUCUUUAUCCAAGAAAUCAUCCCUUGCCUGACCAUGAUCAUGUGCAGCCUCAUAUCGUCUUUCCUCAUCUUCAUCACGGUCCCAAGACCUUGCACGCUCUCUGGACCUAUCACUAUACCGUUCUCCAUACCUGUCCCUGUCACGAUCAUAAUCCCUUUCUCGAUCUCUACCCUUAUCCCAGUCCACACCCCUCUCUAUAUUAUGUCGAAAUCGUUCUCGACCAAAAUUUGAUCUCCCCCCUCUAGUUGUCACUCCAUUUACUCUGACAACUCGCCCAUCAAUAGUCUAUCAGCAAGCAUAAAAAUGUCAAAGUUCUAAAAUGCGAAACUAACUAUAUAAACACCCAAAAAGGCACCAUAUCAAUCAUAACUUGAAAAAUAACAAAGCAAGAAAUCAGAUACCUUGCCAUUCAUGUCAUUGAUGGCAUCAAUGACUGACCUUGGAUUUCUAAAAGUAACAAAGCCAUAGCAUUUUCCCCUUGUCCCAUGGUCAUUAAUAAUCUGCAGGACAGAGCCAUUAACAAACUUGGUCAACCAUAAAUAGGCUCGUUCUGCUUUGAUCAAUAGGUAAGAAAACUAUAUAGUAGUAAUCGCUUGGCUACUGAGAACCUUCUACCCACUGACCCAGUAAAAAAAUUAUAUGCUUCCCAAGAUCAUUCCGUAUAAAAAUUCAACAUAUUCUUUAAGGAAACUACAAUUUAACCUCGCAGAUAACUAAACAGUUUAUCGAACAAAUGAAAAAUUAAGUCACAGAAACCCCUAAUUGCAUAAUUAAAAUAUAAAUUUGCAAAAAAUAAGAAGAGAAAGAGUGAUAGAAAGCCAGAAGCACGAUUUGGGGAAAGAAAGGAUGCUCGAAGAGCGUCAAUGAUACCUUAACGGCGACGAUGGCGCCGUAGGGACCGAAUACUCUGCGAACGGUGUCCUCGGUAGCACUGUAAGGAAGCCCCCCAACGUAUAUAGAGUUUUCAUCGUCUAUCGUCAUUUUCUCAGUUAUUUUAUUCUGAAUUUAAUCUAUCGGUUCGCCAGAAAUUGCCCCUUGGAGCGGUUGUCGUCUUUUUGCCCCUGCGGUCUACCUCCUCUCUGCAUUUCCUCUAAUAUUUUCUACUGCUCCUGCCCACUGGUAAUCGAACGCACGUGCCCACGCGCUCCAGUCUAUGUGAAUAUACAUUAUGUUUUGGUUUUUUUUUAAAAUAGAGGUUAGGGAGUCCAACCGUCAAGACUACAUGAUACACUUUCCAACAAGGCCUAGCCUUGAAAUGCAAUAUACUUUAUGUUAUAAUCUAUCUUUUGUCUAUUUAAUAUAUGUAAAAUAUAUACAGCAAUUAAUAAGGAAACUAAGAAGAAAAAAAAUCUUAAAAUUUUAAAUUAUUUAAUAGCAAAGAAAUUACUAUCAAAAUAUGUUUUUAUUAAGGUAAAAUUAAAAAAUAUAUAUGAAUUAUUGAAAAUAAAAAAUAUAAUUAUUUUUCCACUAAAGUCUCUGUUGCAACAUGAACAAGGAAAAGAAAAUAAAAGGAUUAGUGAAAUAAAAAAAUAUCUUUAUUUUUAAAUUUUAUUUUAAUACUAAUAAGACUCUCAAAUUUAAAAAUAAAAAAUUAUUUAAUAUAUAUUAAGAAAUAAAAAUUAUACAAUAUAAGAAUUUAUACAUUUAUUUUCACAUGUGUAAAAAAAAAGAAAUGAAAUUGAAGAGAUUUAAAAAAUAAGAGAUGAUUUAAUAAAUUGAUUUCCCAGUAAGCCUCAUAGGCCCAUUAGGACAAAUGGGCCUAAUGCAAAUGCUGAUUGGGUUCGCUGUUUAUUAUAUGCUGAAGUGCCCGAAAAGGUCCAAAAACCUGGGACAUCUAAUAUCAGCUAGGCAAUUGAAUCUUUUUUUCCUUUUUUUCAAUUAAAUUUUAAUUCAAACUCAAAUUUAAAGUUUUAUCCUCAAUUCAUUUAAAGAAAAUGUUUCUGAAAAAAAUAAUUUUUAUUUUUUAAUGUUUAAAACAUUUAAAAAUUUAAUUAAUAAAACUUUUUUCUUGAUUAAAUAGAAAAUUAAUUCAUUUUUUAAAUAACUUUCCUUUUUAAAAGAUAAAAUUAUGUUUUUAAUUUUAAGAGUGUUAUUACUAAUAUUAUUAUCUAUAAAUUCAUUAAUAUUCCUUAUUUAUAAAAUUACAAUCAACAAAAUAAAAAAUAAAUUGUUUUUUAAAAAAAUAUUUUUCCAAAAAAAGGUAUUUUUCAUAUAUAAAUUAGUUUGUUCAAAACUUUCAUAUAUAAAAAAGGUAUUAUUCGCUUAAUUUUAUAAAUUAAAAUUUUUAUAUAAUUUAAAUAUAAAUUAAUAUGAUUCUAUUAAUAAUAUUUAAGUAUAAUGUAUAUAUAUAAUUAUAUAAUUUAAAUUGUUUAUACUUAUAUUAAUAUAUUUAUUUUAUAUAAUAUUUUAUAUUUAUAUUAUAUGUAUAGUAUUUUUUAUACAAUAUAAAUUAAUUUAAAAUAAAUUAUAUAUUUAAAUAAAAAUAAAUAAUGAUANNNNNNNNNNNNNNNNNNNNNNNNNNNNNNNNNNNNNNNNNNNNNNNNNNNNNNNNNNNNNNNNNNNNNNNNNNNNNNNNNNNNNNNNNNNNNNNNNNNNNNNNNNNNNNNNNNNNNNNNNNNNNNNNNNNNNNNNNNNNNNNNNNNNNNNNNNNNNNNNNNNNNNNNNNNNNNNNNNNNNNNNNNNNNNNNNNNNNNNNNNNNNNNNNNNNNNNNNNNNNNNNNNNNNNNNNNNNNNNNNNNNNNNNNNNNNNNNNNNNNNNNNNNNNNNNNNNNNNNNNNNNNNNNNNNNNNNNNNNNNNNNNNNNNNNUAUAUUAAAUAUAUUUUAUAUAAUUAAUUAAAAGUUUAUAAUUAGUAUUUGAAUAAUAAAUAAUAUUUAAUAUUAUAAAUAAAUAUUAAAAUUUAAAUAAUAAAAAGAAAAAAAUAUUUAUUAUUGAUGGGAGUAGAAUACAAAACCUUAGAAAAACUAUCUUUCAUUGACUAUUAGAGUACAAAUUCGUUAAAUUAUUAUGCAUUAUUUUACAUAUAAAAUAUUAAAAAUUAUUGAAAUAAUAUCUCUUAUUCUACUUCCAAAACUUAUAGAGAUAAUAGACGAAACUCCUUAUAGAAAUAAUGGACCAAAUUCCUAAGUAAAUAAAAAUUUCAAUUUUUAUGGUAUUUUAUAUUAAAAUUUUAAUUACAAUAAACUUUAAUUAAAUUAUAUUUAAUUUUAUUAAAAUCUUUUUAUUUUUUAAUUUAAAAUUUUAAUAUUUAAAAUUUUAAAUUAAUUAGAUUUUGUUAAUAAGUUUUUUAAUCGAAUUUUCGAAUUCAAACUUAAAUUAGACUCGUUAUUAGUUUAAACGAAUUUUUUUUGAGUUUUCAAAAUCGAGUUUGAAUUAGUUUAAUUGAUUUUUUUACGAGUUGACAUUAAAUCGGACUCAAUUAUAAUAUUUAGUUUUUUAGUCAAACUCGAGCUCGCGGUUUAUAAAAAUUUUUAAUAAAUGAGUCUAAAUUUUAUGUAAAAUUUAAACCCAAACUCGACUCUAUUCAAUUAUACCUCUACCAACAAAAAUAACAAAUCGAAUAUAUUACAAAUCGAAUAUAUUUUUUAGGUCGAAAGCUCUAACACUAAUUAUAUAAAUAUAAUCUAAACUGACUUAAAUAAUUUUUAAAUUUAUUUUUAUUUAACAUAAAAUAAUUAAUUUAAAUUAUUUAAUAAUUUUUUAAUAAAAUUUAUAUAUUACACUCAAUAUGAAUCUAAAGAUUACUCCCUCAUUUUGUCACACGCAAUGUAAGGUGUUGAUGGUAUCUGUGCAUUUAUGAACAUUAUACUGCUUAGAUUUAAAACUAUACAAGUGUGUUGAUUAACUCGUAGUAUUCUGAUUCGAGUCAACAUGAGUACACAUAACUAAAUUUUAAAACCGGUCGUAUUUUAUAUUUUACCGCAUAUGAUAUAUUCACAAUGAAUUGUUGCUUCACUGGAUAAAAUCUGAGGAUUAAUGGUAGGUGGGAGUGCUAGGGUUAAGGGCACCAUGAUGGAUGAGCAGUGCAGCCACAGUCAGAAGCAAACAAAAGAGGAGCAACUAAGUGCAUAAGAUGAAGUUGAUCUGUCUUUGGGGUUCACUUGUCUCCACUAUCUAAUGCUGACAAAAAAGAGAUUGUCAUCCCCUUCAAUCAUCACCAUAUCCAUAUGCUACAUUUUCUCUCAUAGCAAAAAGAAUGUCAGAUAAAAAUAAUUGAUAUAUAAAAAAAAGUAGAUAAUGAUAGAGGGAGCAAAUGGUGCAAAACUAGAUUUUACCCAUUACUUAUAAUGACCAGUCCCUUUCCAUUACGAUGGGACAAAUUAGUUGUCAAACCACUAUAUCUAAUCACAAAUCAUCCUCCUAUAAAAUCCAAAUCUUUCUUCUCCAUAUUCAUUCCACUGCAUUAGAUUCUAUCCCCCUAUAAGUUUUAAUAAUUAUUUUUUUUAAAAUUUAACAUAUAAUUCUACCUUUUUAAUUAUUUAUUAUAAUAUUAUUAAUUUAAAUAUCCAAUAAUCUCUGUGUUUGGCAGUUUAUUAGUGUGGGCCAAGUGCAUUGCAAGCUAGAUAAAGCUACUUUUUAAAUAUCCAAUAAAUUAUAUGUUUUUUCAAAAAUUAAUUAAAAUAUUUAUAUGAUUUAUAAAAUUAAAAUCUAUCAUAUGCUGUUAAAUUUUAUGAAAAGAAACAUAUUAAUAAAUUUAUUUUAAUCUUAAUAUACUACUAAAUAAUACGAAAGUUAAAAUUAAAUUACAUAACUUUAAUGAUAUAAAUAUUUAAAAUUUAAAUAAAGUUAUCAACAAUUUUUAAUUGAUUUUGCAUAGGCUUAAUGAUAAAAUAAGCCGAACCUUUUUAAGUUUUUACAGUUUAUAUUUAAAAAAUAAUAAAACAUUAUUUAUUUAACAUUAAAUAACUAAUCAAACAUUAAAAUAAAAGCUAUUACUACACUAAAUUAUUUAUUUAUAAUUAUAUUUUGCAACAAAAAACAAUAUGUAACAGUUAGAUUAUAUCAUAUCUAUUAUAUGAUUCAUUAGUUUUGAUAAAUGAUUUUUUUACAUUAUGUCAUAUCAGAUAUAACCCUAAAGGAUUGCCUUAUGUAUAUAUAAAAAGAUGUGGAGCCGGAAAUCCCUGACUGAUGGGGCAUCAAACUACUUAGACAAUGCUCUUCCAGUAAAGCAGAUGCUUAGGUAGUGUGCUAAUGGAAUGUAGUCCAUUAAUUUUAAAAUUCGAUUGAAUUUUUAUUUUUAAAAUUUAUUAUUAUUUUAAUUUAAUUUAAUUUUAAUAAAAAUAUCGAUAAAAUUAUAAUUAAAAUUAAAUAUUUUAAUUAAAAUUUAAAAUAUUAAAAAUAAAAUAUAAAAAAUAAAAAAAUUUAUUAAAAAUUUAAUCGAUUAAAUAAAAUUGAAUUAAAUGAAUUUGAUUCAAUUUGAUUUAUACUCAAAAUUAAUUUGAUUUAAUUUUUAUAAAUAUUAAAAUUUUAAUUUUUAAUUUAUUUAAUUUAAUUUUAAAUCAAAUUCGCGAACGGUUGAUGCGUAGUUUAAAUAGGAUUUAAAGAUUUUGAAGGAAUUCUAAAUUUUUUCUUAAGAGUGUUUCGAUUUAGUGAUAUGAAUCGGUUGCGUAUUAGUUUUGACCGUGACUAUCCCAAUAAUAAUGUAUUCGUAAUUCAUCCAUCACUCAUUUUAACCGGAUUAAAAGGUACUUAGUUGCACAUGUCAUCAUUUUUCAAAUGGCUAUUAUCCGAACCUCUAAAUCUCGCUUUUAUUUUGUGGAAGUUAACUAUCACCCUAUAAUUAUCGACAGUUGUUAAAACAUGAUUUUAGAAUCCCUAUAAAUAUAAAAUCCCUUAUCUACCUGUCAAUAACUCUAGAUUUUAAGGAAAAAUGGCUAACUAAUCCUAUUAUGUAAUGGUAGUGUAGAAUUCAAAAUACAUAAUUCUAAAUAUUUAUUUGACAUUAUACUCUGCCCUUAAAUUUUAUUUUAUAUUUAAUAUUAUAUUCACCCAUAAAUAUGGGUGUGUAAUAUUCAGUUUAAACUGAAAAAAUUAAUUAAAUUGAAUUAAUUUAAAAAUUCGAUUUAACUUUUUAUUUAUUUUAGUUUAAUUUUUAAUUUUAAAAAAUUUAAUUAUUUUGUUCGAUUCGAUUUUUAUUAGAAAAAAUAAAAAAAAUCAAAUCGAACCGAUUAGUGAUAAUAAUAUUUUAUUUUUGAUAAUAUAAAAAAAUUAUACCGUAAUUAAAGUUGAAAUAUUUCAGUUAAAUUUUAGAAUACUAAAAAUAAAGUGUAAAAAGUCUAUUAAAAAGUUUAAUCGAUAAAGCCAAACUGAAUUAAACUGUGUGACUAAGUUCGGUUUCUAUUCAAAAUCAAUUCGAUUUGAUUUUUAUAAAUAUUAAAAUUUUAAUUUUUAAUUUAUUCAGUUCGAUUUUAAACCGAACUAGACCUUUAUUCAUAUUUACAGUAUAUUAACUUAAAUACUGUUCCCUCAUAUUUUUUUCUUUUACAGAUUACCAAAUUAUAAACCAACGUGAGGCACAUCAUUUGGAUUCCUAGUUUAUUAAUUCUAUUGUUAAUGUUUUAAUUCCUAUUUUGAUUAAAAUCUUACUGUUUGUCCAAAGGUUGAGUUUUACAAAGAGCAACAAUAAGGUAGGCCGUGUGCAUGCAAGAGAGGCUCCAUCGAUUCCGGUUUUUAUAGAUGUUUAAGGAUUUCUAAUUCUAUUUGAAUUACUUUGCUUCCAACUAUAAUAGUUUUAAUUCAUAUUUGUCAUUUAUUUAGAACUUCUAAAUUGUGUAUUCCAAUUUAGUAUAAGUAUUUUAAAUUAAGUCCAAUUUAGAUUAAGGUUUAGAAAUGUAUAAAUAUUCAUCCAUGAUGACCGCUGGAUUUCUCCAUCCUGAUCAGGGGCCAAGCCCUCAAUCACAGCCCAUCGCUUGGAGGCCCACACGACCCCAAUACAAACAGGUCCAGCCCGUUCGAACCUUAAUAUAGGGUCCAUAUGGAUUUCUCAACCAGCCUGAUCCAGUCCUCAUUGCCUCUCAGGCCGGCUCAGCCCUCACAACUUCUCAGGAUGAUUCUCCUUGGGCUCAGUCUUAUUCCUAUUUUCCGGCCCAAUUCGGAAUCGGAAAGAAGGCCCCACCUUCAGCCUUGUAGGUCCAUCCCCACACGCACGGAGAGAAUCAGGAGCCGUUACGCAUGAGACAGGUACCGGAUAUCCUCAUACGAUCGUAUCAAUAUAGCAGAGACAGGUGACCCAAUGACAACUAGGCCGUUGCACGUCACUGGCAGAGGAGAAAAAGAGAUAAAAGGAGAAAGAUCCUCCCCUAAGCUCUUAAAUUUUUUCUCUAAACUCUUAAAUUUUAAAAAAAAAUCUCUGUAAAACCCUAUUAUAUUUGGAUCUCAUAUCAUCAAUCCAUAUUUUACAAACUUCAUAAUUUUAAUCAUACAUUUCUCUCGUAGAUUAAUUUGUGUUUACUUUAUUUUUUUAAAGUCUUAAUUUAUAUCGGAUUUGUUCAUGUAUUUCAAACUUAUAAUAAAUUAAUAAAAAUAAAUAAAUAAAUAAAACUAAAAAUAUGAUAAUUGAAUAUUAAUUUUUUUUAUAAAAAAUAUAAUCAUUGUUACACAAAUAUCUUACCUCUAUUUGUUUAUCUUAGCGCUUUUACUCUAUAAAUUUUCGUAUGCAUUUGGUGUGGAUAAUACGUACCUCGUCAAAACAUGAGCACUAAUGAGCUUUGGGUACCUCGAAGGCGGUGCCCGCCUCCACUCCCUUUCUCAAAGCCUGCUCUCCUUCGCCUUUAACCUCGUUAAUCUCUCUCUCAAUCAAGCAUUUCUCUUCUCACUUGUCCCUCUCCAUCGUCAUAUGAAUCCCUCACCGGAAUCAAAUCUCAAGUUCCGGCAACUUUUCCGUCGACAACGUGACACACUCUUUUUCUUUUUUCCGCAAUAGUUUUCAUCAAUCUUGGUCUAACGUGCGCUAUUAUUAGCCCUUCAAGAAAAUCAGGAACCAGCUUGGGAAUGCACUGAAAGCAUUGCAGAGUGACAGUCACAGACAAAACACCAACUCCCUCCCCCUUCCCCCUCUCCUCUCUCUCUCUCUCUGUGUGUCUCUCAAGAGUAUGGAAUCUCUCAGGCAUUCAUUGGUUUCUUUAAUUUAUUGGGUUAUCCACUUUAUUCAAUUAUAUCCAUUCUUUUCAUGUUGAUUUUGCAAAAGUUUAGUUUUAUCAAAUGCACGCUUUGGUUCCAUGCUUAAAAGAACACCACCUCAAAAAGCUAUAACACGCGCUCUUUCUCCUCGUUUAAAGCUUCUUUUCUCUUCUUAAAGGUAGUGACUGUUUCUUGUUGAUGGGUAGAGAUGGUCAUUCUGAUAAUAUAUAAGAAGAAAGGGAAUCUCCUUUGCAUCUUACUUAAAUGCCUUCCUUCUAUAUUAAAUUAAACCUUCCAUCAAGAAAUUUUCAAGCUUUCUUGCAUGCUUAAAGAAAAAAGAAACUGUAGAUUUUCAUGAGGUUUGUUUGGCAGCUAGCUAGCUGGACUUUCUCAAGCUUUUUCUUGCUUGAUUCAAAGUUGCCAUUUGUUUCUUGUUUUGUAGUGCUUAAUUCUGAAUAGUUUCAUCCAUUCUCUCGAUAAUAUCUCAAAUUAAAGCAAGUCUGCUACUUUUACAAAACUGUAUUUAUGGGCUAACUGUAUCUUAACCAGUUAUGGUUUAAUGUUUACUCUCCUAGUCUACCAAAUCUUAGAACACUUCUCCUUUAAAUAAGAUCCUCGUACAUUUCACCAUUUGGUCUUGUCCAAUUUUCUCUCUAAAAUCACGCCUACUUUCUCUAGGUUUCUAUUGCCUAGCUACUCACUCACACUUCAGCUCUUACCUGCUUCAAAUUCACUGAUAUCUGAGUCCCUUAGCCGCAUUUUACAGUGAAGAUUUGCCGCAUUUACAGUGAAGAUUUGACAUACAUAUAUAUGCGCACACACAGAGAGAGAGAGAGAGAGAUCUAAUGCUGCGAUUUCUUUGAUAUAUAAAAUAUAUUAUUCCGUGCAGAGUCUGCAAGAUUUGGUUAUGAGCUCCAGAUACAGUUAAUGGAAGAGGCAAAUUAAGAUCAGUCUGCAAUAAAUGUAACAAGGGGAGUCGUAAAAGCAACAGGUUCGUUUCUCUCAGUUAUAAUAAAAUUCUCUUUUUAAUAUUUUCUGCAGGCCAUGAGGGAUUGUUGAAUCAAAUCAAUCAAAUUAUUUUAUUAUCGAUCAAUGGCGGUCGUUUGGUUUCCAACCAUACAUAUAUAUAUAUAUAUAUAUAUAUACACACGUCCUGUAUGCAGAUAAUUAAGGAUAUUUUUGCUUCAUUGCUGCAUUUCUUUCAUCAAGACUCCUUGGAUGACUUCUGCAUUGUGCAUGAAUGUGUGAUGUUUUCUAUUUAACGAAGUAUAAAAAAGAUUCAAUGAAGAGGACGGUAGAUUUUCAAUAUAUAAUUACUCUUUUUUUUUUUUUUUUAAGUUAACACCCAUGGCUUGCAUUAGGACAAAACUGGACCUGGGGAGGUAAUGUGGAAAUUUCAACCAAGUUUUUGGAUUGGGUUUGGUUUUCGUACAAAAUCGUGACGUUUCUAAAACGAAAACCAAACAAUGCUACGAGUCUGAAAGAGAUCAGACAUGUCUCCUUUGGGCCUGGGCUCAUGUAACUCCGAUCGACCUUCACCCACAAGAGAAAAAUAAAAAAUAAAAAAUAAAAAAGAUUUCUUUCGUUUAGUGGCCUUUCAGUAGAAACCCUAGUUUUAUGAUGAUCUAAGGGGGCACAGAAUUUGGCAUGGGAGAUAACAAGACCUGAUCAUUCUUGGUGUCAUGUAAUAAUCCCAUGGAUAUGAUCUCUCUCUCUCUAUUACAUAACCCUCAUGUAUAAAUGCUAUAAAAACCCAGUGGCUCUGUGCAGGGUACAACUGACAUCUGCACACAAACCCAAACUUCAUUAAACCAUGUCUGGUUCAUAGAGAACAAGAAAAACAAAAUAACACUGUAAAUCCAAAUCCUAUAGCAAAGCCCCCAUGAGUUAUCAACAUCGACAACCUUUAUAGCCUAAUUGUUAAUGUAUCUGGUUGAGUAUUGUGUAGUAGUACCUCUAUGUUUUGUCGCUGUUGAUACGUAGGGUGUGGCUUUGGGAUGAGUUAAAGCUCCUCUUUGUUCGCUGAAAAGAGGGCGUACAUUGUCAUUUGGUGUGCAAACUAAAGUUGGUGGUAAUCUUAUUUACCCUUUGGGACCACUAGCCCAACACUGUGCACUGGAUCUUCUGCUAAGCCCACCAAAAUAAUAAUUAAAAAAAAACAGUGGUCCUCCCUGCUUCCCUCUUCCCAGUCAAAAGAAUUUUGUUUUUUUAUAAAAAAUUAAAAUUUUUUUAUUUAAUAUUAAAAAAUAUAUUAAAAAUAUUAACUUUAACCAUAAAAUAUUUUAUUAUUUAGCCUUUAUAUUAUAAAAUAAUUUAUUAUUUUAUAUAUUAAGUGUAUUAAUUAAUAAGUUUUUCUAUGGUGCAAGGUUUAAAUAGCAAUUUUUUUUUUGGUGUGAGGUGUUAAUCGGACGGUGUUGUUGUUAUAAGAGCAGCUUUUGCAUUUAGAGGUAAAUAAAUCACUCUGGUUUAUAAUUAAUUACUGUUUCUUGUUUUUUAUUUUUGUGGAUCUGCAGUCAGCAUUAGCAAUUUUGAAAAAAAAUUGGAUAAAAAAGAAACAUUGGAGUUGAUGUUGGGUUGGACUUUUUGUAAAAAUGUCAGGACAGUGGAUUCUUAUUUACUUUUCUGCAUGUAUGCAAUGCACGUCUCCUUUGUUGAAUACUUUUCAGAGAAUAUACAGCGCUAUGAAUUAAGUAAAACACUGUCUAAGAUCGGAUGCUAUUGUCCUCUGCGUCCUUUUUGCUUCUUUUUAGCUUGCAGCCGUUACAAUGCUCCGUGUCAACCUUCUGAUCAUUCAACUUUUUUCUUCAAAUGUUCUCAGAGAAACGUGGAAAAAGUUAAACCCUUGCCUUUAUCAUCACUCUGCUGCUCUUUUCUUUGCUUUUCUUAUCUGUCACCUCUCUAUCUAUCAUGUAAUGCUUAAUAUUAACUGUUAUUCAAGUUGUUACACAAGUUUGAAUAUUUAACAUGUAUUUUCCUUGAAACACCCAUAGGUGAAAGUUUUACUUGUUCUUCAGAUAUGCCUCACAUGCAAAUCAAGGAUUCUCAGGAGAACCAUGUGGUGUCGUCUUUGCAAACCUUGGAUAUUGCAAAAGAGAGCAUACCCAGGAGGAGAAAUGGAAGGAGAAGAGGAGGCAAAGGACUCAAAAUGGAUUCCAAGAAUAUGUUAUUAUCAGAAGCUAAAGGAACUCCUCCUGCUUCAUGCAAAAGCCUCUUCAUGUUUCAUCGCAGGCCUGGGUAUGGUCAGCUGGGGACGAAGUGCAUGGUUAAAGCCAAUCAUUUUCUCGCUGAGAUACCCGACACAGACUUGAGUCACUACAGUGUAAGUUUUAUAAACCUUUCUUGUUGAGUUACCCUUUUAAUUAACUUGUCUUGGAGAGCUUGUCUGGUUAUGGAUUUUGUGCAAGAUGCAGGUAGAAAUAACCCCAGAAGUUACAUCUCGUAAACUGAGCAAAGCCAUCAUGACCCAGUUGGUAAAACUGCACAGAGGAACUGAUUUAGGGAUGAGGCUACCUGUUUAUGAUGGAGGAAGAAACCUUUACACAGCAAGAUCAUUGCCUUUUAUCUCCAAAGACUUCACUGUAACUUUGGUUCACGAAGAUGAGGCAACAGGCAAUUUCAAGUAAUCAAUUUGAGAUAUAAUACACUUAUUCUUAGCAACAUCCACAAGCAUAUAUGCUCUACUGAUGACUAUUUUUGGUUAAUUAGGAAAAGAGAAUUCAAAGUGACAAUAAAGUUUGAAGCACUUGCUAGUAUGCUGCAAUUAAGGGAGCUUUUUUCUGGAAAACCAGUUGAUACUCCUCAAGAAGCGAUUACUAUUAUUGACAUCAUACUAAGGGAAUUUGCUGCUCAAAGGUUGAACUAAUUUUUGUAGUUUUGUGGGGAUUUUUUUGUUUUCGUUUACUGCCCACAGCAAGGUUGGAAAUUGCUUGUUAUCUCUGGAAAUAUGCGUUUGUAUAGGUACGUAUCAAUUGGAAGGUCCUUCUAUUCUCCUGAUAUAAAGAAACCACAGAAGCUGGAUGGAGGUUUAGAAUCAUGGCGGGGCUUCUACCAAAGUAUAAGACCAACUCAAAUGGGGCUAUCACUGAAUAUUGGUAUGGGUUUUUAUCCAUUGAAGUUAAUAAUAUUUGUGUGGAAAAGGUUGAUAUUCCAAAUCUAAAUGCUUCUUUGUGCAUCUGUUUUCUAUUGAUCAGAUAUGUCGGCUACGGCUUUCAUUGAACCACUCCUUGUUAUUGAUUUUGUUGCUCAAAUUUUGUGCAAGGACGUGUAUAAAAGGCCAUUAUCAGAUGCAGAUCGCGUUAAGGUAUUAUACUAUUGUAGUGCAGAAAGCAAAUGAUCGGUUUUGUUACUUUAUAAAAGCAUCAUCUUUAGUGGUUCCCUGUUAUUUUUUGUGGACAAAAUGGGAGACAAAAGUUUAUGUAUGCUUCUCUGCACACAAUUGUUAGCCUCGAAAUAAGUGAUCUUGACAUCCCAAGUACCAUUAACUCUUCUUGAUAUUUUAAUCUUGACAAAGACCUAUACUAGAGAGGACACAGGCAUACUCCAUUAAUACCAGAAGGUGGAAGAGAAAACCAGACAAUGUCCGAACUUGGGUUUCCUAUAUUAUAGUUUAGCAAAAACUUGCCAAUGUCCCCUUCUAAUUUGAUGCGACCAAUGCCAUCAAAUUAAAACAGGACUUAACUUUUGUAAAGCCAUUGUAUCUGUUAAACAUGUGGACAUUUGGAUGCACAAAUUCAAACUUGAUUUAUAUAUUUUGUGUUAAUGUUGCAGGUCAAGAAAGCUCUUAGAGGUGUCAAAGUUGAAGUCACUCACAGAGGAAAUGUACGAAGAAAAUACCGAAUUUCCGGGUUGACAACACAGCCUACAAGAGAGCUAAUGUACAAAAUGAUAUCCAAUUAUCCUCUUUUCUUUAUAUUCUCAUAUGCAUAUAUUCUACUAAGCCUGUUAAACAUUUUGGGAAACUAGAAGUUAUCUUUUGAUUUUCUUACCUUCUUUAACAGCUUCCCACUCGAUGGGCAUAUGAACAUGAAAUCAGUUGUUGAGUACUUUCAAGAGAUGUACGGCUAUACCAUUCAGUAUCCUCAUCUACCUUGCCUGCAAGUAGGAAACCAGAGGAAGGUGAACUAUUUGCCGAUGGAGGUACGUUAAUAUAAUAUUUCUAAACGCAUUAUGAAGAUUGUAUGAGCCAAUUCACACAUAUUACACAUAUAUUUCCAGGCUUGCAAGAUAGUCCAGGGACAAAGAUAUACAAAAGGGCUAAAUGAGAAGCAGAUCACUUCUUUGCUAAAAGUUUCAUGUCAAAGACCCCGUGAUCAAGAAUCAGAUAUUUUACAGGUCUACAUCUUCGAUCCACUAAUUGUUUUGCUACUUUCUUGAUAAAUAGAAAACUUACUUUAAGUAUAUAUAUUAGAUCAUGUACUAAAGGAGACAUAAGGUUUAAUUACGUUGUCAUAUUGUCCUAUUCUGUCAUAUGCAUGUCCUUCAUUCACAUAGCUAAUGCUUCAGCUUCAGGAGCUAUGCUGUUAAUUGAUGUUCUUGCAUUGAAAGACAAACUAGUCUCACUAAAAUCUAGAGACUGAUAAUUCACAAAUUAAUGGGAGGGUCUUGAAAUAAAAUAAAAAUUUGUUGUUCACACCAACAACCUGAAGUUUCUUCAAUGUCUUCAGACAAUUCAACAAAAUGGGUACAACCAAGAUCCAUAUGCGAAAGAGUUUGGCAUCAGCAUAGAUAGCAAGCUUGCAUCUAUUGAGGCUCGAGUUCUACCGGCUCCAUGGGUACUGUUCUUUAUCUUUGCACUUUACAUACUUCAUGCUGUUACAGCUUAUUCAUUUCGUUUUGCUUAUUCAUUUCAUUUCUUCCCUCACUAAAAGCUGAAGUACAAUGAUACUGGAAAAGUAAAAGAAUAUCUUCCUCAAGUUGGCCAGUGGAAUAUGAUGAACAAGGUUUGUUGAUAUAUCACAUAUGCAUAAACUAAAUUAGAAUCUUUCUGAAAAUGCUUGUUUACUAGUGACAACGGGAAUGAUAACUUCUUGUUUUAUUCAGAAAGUGAUAAAUGGAAGUACCGUAAGAUAUUGGGCUUGCAUCAACUUCUCACGAAGUGUCCAAGAAACCACAGCUAGAGGCUUUUGCCAGCAGUUGGGUCAGAUGUGCCAAAUCUCUGGCAUGGUAAAAAUUCAUCAUCUUUCUCUAAUGGCAGAUUGGGAUUGCUGAAUCUAACUGUUGAUCAUUUUUGCUUCUGAUUGUCUUACAUGAAUGCCUAAGUUUACAAUUUGAUGUCAUUCCAGGAUUUUAACUGCGAACCAGUACUUCCAAUAUAUUCAGCAAGACCUGAUCAGGUAAAGAAGGCCUUGAAAUAUGUUUAUCAUGCAGCUGCAAAGAAACUUGAAGGGAAAGAACUGGAGUUGCUUAUUGCAAUUCUUCCUGACAGCAAUGGCUCAUUGUAUGGUAUGGUGAUUGGUUCUCGGCUUGUUGCUACAAGUUCAUUUUGCAUGAAUUAAAUGUUAGGUGGACCAUUAAUUUUCUCUAGAAAAAGAAACGAGAAAAUUAUUUGAACACCUUCCUGUAAUUGGAGAAUUUGAUGAGAAAGAUUUAUUCUAACAAUCAGAGAAUGCUCUAUAUUUCAGGUGAUUUAAAAAGAAUUUGUGAAACUGAUCUCGGGUUGAUUUCCCAGUGCUGCCUUACCAAACAUGUCUUCAAAAUUAACAGACAGUACUUGGCAAAUGUGUCACUCAAAAUCAACGUUAAGGUAUGUCAUAAUUACAUUAUCAUUUUGAGGCUUUAGAAACAGAACUUCAAAACUCAGACCAAAUUGAUAACUUUUUUCUCUUAUGUUGAAAACUUUCAGAUGGGAGGAAGAAAUACUGUGCUUUUGGAUGCUUUGAGUUGGAGAAUUCCCUUGGUCAGCGACAUCCCAACAAUAAUUUUUGGGGCUGAUGUAACACAUCCAGAGUCAGGAGAGGACACUAGUCCAUCUAUAGCUGCUGUAAGCCAAUCAAAUUUUGUAUCUUCAAAGGUUAGAGAUGAAAUUGCAGCUUAGUUUUUAUGCAUUUUGCAGGUUGUAGCCUCCCAAGACUGGCCUGAAGUUACAAAAUAUGCCGGAUUAGUAUGCGCUCAGCCUCACCGGCAAGAACUUAUUCAAGAUUUAUUCAAAACAUGGCAGGACCCUCAACAGGGAACUGUCUCUGGAGGCAUGAUCAGGUAAAUGAUUAUAUUAAACACAUGGACUAUAAUUUUUUUACCCUUUUCUUCAGAGAUGUAAUAAUGGACUAUGCAGGGAGCUCUUACUUUCAUUUAAGAAAGCCACUGGGCAAAAGCCAUUGAGGAUAAUAUUUUACAGGUACUGGUAGGCUAAUAUUUUCUCUUCAUUGUUGAAUCAAAAAGUUAGUUGUUCAAAUUGAGGAAGAAAAUUACCUGCAGGGAUGGUGUAAGCGAAGGACAGUUCUACCAGGUUCUGUUGUAUGAACUUGACGCGAUUCGAAAGGUUGGUGAACUGCCAAGUGAUGAUGUUUUUACCAAGUUUGGUUGUUUUUAAGCUUAUAAUCUAGUUUAUUACAGGCUUGUGCAUCGCUAGAACCCAGUUACCAACCUCCAGUGACAUUUGUGGUUGUCCAAAAGCGGCACCAUACUAGACUCUUCACGAGCAAUCACAACGACAGAAAUAGCACUGACAAGAGUGGAAAUAUUUUACCUGGUAAUUCUCUUAAUUUCCCACUGGUGAAAUUUGUACCGUAAUCAUCCAAGUCUUAAAAGCAAGUCUCAAAUUAUAAUUACACAAAAGUUGUUUUAGACUGUGGAUAAGGUGUUAGAUGGUGAUGUGAUCGUAUGUCCAAAUUAGAACAGAAGGUUCCUUUCAGGAUUGAUAAAUUAAAGAGUAGAGAUGCUACAAUCUUUGAUUUCUUCAAUGUAGGUACUGUAGUGGAUUCUAAAAUAUGUCAUCCGACUGAAUUCGACUUCUAUUUAUGUAGUCAUGCAGGAAUCCAGGUAUGCUGCUGAUUAUAUAUAUAAAAAUAUUGUUGAGUUGAGACUCGAAUAAUAUAAAGAUUUGUGUAAAUCGGAAUUGAAAAUUGACAGGGCACCAGCCGGCCUGCCCAUUAUCAUGUGCUGUGGGAUGAGAACAACUUCACUGCAGAUGAGAUUCAAUCUCUGACAAACAACCUCUGCUAUACGUAAGAAGCUAGACUCUGAUGCUUCUCUCAUGAUAUAAAUGCCUCAAAAAUAUUAAAGUUAAUUAAUUUGAUUAUUUUGUGGCAGGUAUGCAAGGUGCACACGCUCGGUUUCUGUAGGUAAUCUCUAAUAAUUUGUUAAUCUGGACAAUUUCUACUUAUUAUUUUCAUUGAGCUUCAUCUCUUGAACAUGGUGAAAAUCUCAGAUAUUACAUGUUGUGCAGUUCCUCCUGCAUAUUAUGCUCAUUUGGCAGCUUAUCGAGCUCGGUUUUACAUGGAACCUGAGGACGCGCCGGAGAAUCCUAAGAUGCGUUGCACACGCGCCGCCAAUGGAUCAUGCGUCCGCCCCUUGCCUGCAUUGAAAGAUAAGGUGAAGAGCGUCAUGUUUUACUGCUAAGAGGAAGAGCGGAAGCAAUGAAAAAUGGCUCGGUACAAAGAAUAAAGAAGAAGAAGGAAAAAGAAAAAGAGAGAUUAUAAGCAUUUGUACAUUGGUAUUCUUAGCUUAUAGUGCAGAGAUUCUCCACUGAAAAUUUUGACCACCCGCUCAGUGGUAAUGAAAUGAAGAGUUCUCAUUUUAAUCAAACUUGCUUAUAAAUAAAAUAUCACAAGUAGAUAAAUGUUUGUUUGGCUUGCAAAUUUAAAAAAAAAAAAAAAAACUAUUUAAAAAUUAAGUUCAAAGCCAUAAUUAAGUUUCACCUUAUUCAUUAUUUGUUUACUUUAGAACUAUUAUUUUACCAAAUAAAUGCAUAUAUUAUCCUUGUUUUAAUAGUCAUAACACUUAUUACUUCUUCUUUAUUAUUUUGGUAAAUUGAAUCCGUUCAGCCAUAAUAUAUAAUUAUUAGAUUAAAUAGCAUGAUUGGUUCAUCCAUUUAGAUAGAAAUAUAAUUUAGAUAAAUAAUUUCGCCAUCUUAAUUCAGUACGGUUUAACUUAUAAAAUUAUUUAAAUACGUUCAACUAUUUAUUUUGAUCACAUGACUCGAUCAAAUAAUUGGUUUAGUCUUAUGGUUCAUUAUUCAGAUGAAUAGUUUAUCUAAAUAGUCAAUACAAGCAUGUGAUUCAUUUAACGCAAGUUUUCUUACGUGGUUUGAUACUCUCGUUUUUUCAUUUUCUUUAAAUUUAACUCUUUUUUUUUUCAUGGGAGACGAUCUGCGUCAAUUGACUAUCGAUGAAAAAAAAAAUAUUGUUGUCCCUAUUAAGAGCUCUAGAAAUAUUCUGAUCGUCACUUAUGAUUUUUGUAUGGUGGAGAUAUUUCUCACAUACAAUCUAAUUAAUUUUCAGAAUAUGCAGAUAUCUUUGACAUAUUUAUGACAUCUUUUGGAGGGGAUUAUGAUACUACAUGUUUUCGUUCUUCUCAACGGUAUGUCUCUAACCACACUCCUGCGAAUGUUAAUUUGAUAGGUAACAGUGAAGCGGUUUAUUCCGUCAAAAGUCAGGAUAGCCGAAAACAAUGAUCGUCCUAUGUAUUUGGUUACUAGUUACAAGUUUAACAUUUUAUUUUUUUAUGGAAACACAAGUUUUAGCUCUCCGUCACUAUUUGCUCUUUUUGCAAUUGAAUUUUUGCUUGUUAAUGGCUGCAUUCUUAUGGAUUGAUUGUAAGUGAUUCAAUUUUUUCAGUUUUCACAUUUAGAUAUUUCUAAAUUGAAUUUGAUUUUAAAUAAUUGUAAAUUUUUGUUAGACUCUAGAAUUGAUAUUUUCUGUUAGAUGGGUUUGUCAUCAUGCUACUCUAAUUGCUCAUAUUUUAGUUAAAGAAUCUAUUAGAUAUGAUCAUUUCUCUAUUUGGGAUGAUAUCCCUCUUUAUUUAAUAAAAUUAAAAAAAAAAAAAACAUGUGAUUCAUUUUGCCUAUAUAAUACUCCUAUCACAAAAGAUUUAUAUUUCAACUUAUUCUCUCAAAUAUAAUUAUGGUCGUUUGUAAAAAUAGAUUUAUAUUUUUCAAUUAUGAAAUAAAGUUAUUUUUUUUAGUAAUUGGUUUCAAAUUUUUUAUUCACCUCUUCCUUACAUUAUUUAUAAAAAAAAUUUUAUUAAUACAAUAUUAGUUUUUUUAUAAUUUCUAGAUUAUUAAAAAUUACAAGUAAUAAAUAAUUAAUUUUUAAAAAAUACAAAAAAUUAAUAUAUAAAUUUUACUAGACUAUAAAAAUUAAAUGGUAUUUCGCUUUACCACUCUUAAUGAAGCAUGAGUUUUGUGAAUCAAGAUUAAAGAUAGAUAAUCAGUUAUUUUGUAUUAAAGGAUUCAUGUCUUUCAACUGUAAAAACAAAACUUAAUUUUUUAUUUAACUAGUCUCUUAAUAUUUUUAUUAAUCUUCCAAUUUAUAAAAACGCCACAAAUAUGAACUCUAGACCCAUAAGAAAUCUUGACGCAACACUCAUAUCCAAUAAAACUCCAAAAACACUCCACACCAAUAUCUCUAAGCCUUAUCUGAGUUUUUAAUUGAAACUUGAACAAAAGGAGAUACUCUCUCAAUUGUAGCUGAAGUCAGAGCAGAGCCAUCAUACUAAAGACGGGAGAAAAGCAUCGCCACCAUUGAGCAACAUGGCCAAAGCUACCUAGAUUCGAAGAUGAGCAACACUAAUUAGAAAGAGAAUGCAUGCUUCUCUAAGUUAGAUGGUAACAUAGACAUUGGACGCUAGGGAAAGAGAAGAAUUACACUUCUACAAUCAAGUUGAGCAUCUGCACCAAAGCCAAGAGGGAGAGCCUCCAAAACCUAUUGAUACAUGUGGAAGAAAAAAGAAGGAUGCAUGACAAACUCGAUGCGCCAGAGUAGUUGCUCCUUCACCCAUCCUCUCAUUUCCACUGCUUAAUGACACCAUUGAAGUCCAAAACAUGAAAGCCCUCCAUAUUUGUAAAAAAUACGACUAAAAUACAGUAAAAGAGAAAAAAAAAUUAACAAUUAUAAUCAAGCCUUCUUUAAGUAUCGCGGUCACUGAACAACCCAAAAUUAAUAUUUAUAACUUUCAUUUAACGGAAAAAGACUAGAUACCUCAAAAGAAAUUUUCUCUUUAAGAGAAGAUAUAGACUCUCAUUCUUUUUGUUGAUCAUUUUUUAUUGAAAAAUUAACUAUUUAGUCUUUAUGGUAUAAUAAAAUUCACUAGUUAAUUUUUUUUAUUUUAAAAAAUAUAUUAAAAUACUCUACGUUUUAAAAAAUUUAUUAAUUAGUUUUUUUAUUUAUUUUAAUCAUUAAAUAUUAUAAAAAAGUCUAAAAUAGUCAUAAUAUUAAGGGACUAAUUAGUAAAUUUUUUUUCAAAACUUAAAGGAUUAACUAAUGAAUUUUUUAAAACUAUAUGAAUUAAACAGUAAAAUAUUUAACGAUUAAAAUUAAUGGAUGAAUUAAUUAGUAAAUUUUUUAAAAUAUCAGUUUAAUAUAUUUUUAAUGAAAGAGUAACCAUAAAAAUUAAAUAAUAAUUUUUUUAAUUUUUAAAUUUGAGUCCAUGUUGAAUAUGAAUAUAAUAGUGUUGUACAUGUUAGUGAUUCAAGGCUGAGGCAAGCCUACAGUUGGCUUGCAAAUAGAAAAAAGUUCUAUAAGAAGUUCUUUUUUUUUUUAAAAAAAAAAUUGCAAUUAUUAUUUGUACAUUUUUUUAGAAGAUAUGACAUUAAGCAUCUCAAAUACUAAACCACGCAGUAAAUGUAGCAGCUCGAAUUGGAAUAAGGUUGACAUUAAUCUCUAUUUUUCAUUUGUACAAAAACAAAAGCAGACAAAAAACUUCACAAACUAAGGCCAGAGGAAAAGGCAAUCCCAGCCAUGUUCAGGCCUUUCAUGUUGCAAUUUGGGACUGGAAUCCAAUUCCAAUAGCCCCUCCCUAUGUCAUAAGACAGCCAUAUUAUAUCCCAUAAACCUUCGUAAUUAGACAAUAAAACUGCCCUAAUUAUCUCUUCUCUGCGCUCUAAGCACCCCAUUAUUACCCUAUAUGGCUUCUUAAUCUCCUCAAUUAUUUUACUUGGAACUUUCGAAUCACGCUCCCACUGUCCACCGCUUGUCACCAAUCCCCAUAAUUCUAUAUCAUUUAACAUUCUCGCUCCUGUACUCGCAUCACCUACUCCGUUUGAUUUUAUGAUUAACAUGUGUCCAUCACCAUACACGUGUAGCCGAUCAAUCACAUUCCCCCAGCUGAAUCCAACGGUUAGUUGCUGCCCAUCUUCUCUUCCACCCUCAAAUCUUGGCCGCACAACUAUUGGAGCAUCAAAUGUUUCCAAUCCGGCUAUCAUUAUUACGCUUUCGUACGGUCCAUUUACUACGUUGAGAAAUAUGUAAUUACCCUCUCUUUGGAAUCCACGUGGCAAUCUUUCAAUAUUUUCUCUUGCUUCUAUAGAAAGCCAUUUGUCAGUUUCGGACGAGUAUAGAAACAAAACCGGCCGAUUCUCCACUAGCUCCGCAAACAAAAAACGGAAACUAUUCGACCCGGAAACUAGUUUCAUCCCGGAUCUUCGCCAGGAAGACGUGCCACGUGGACCCAAUGGACUUGGAGGUAUCUUUUUAACCGUCUUGGCAGACAAAUUAACGGCAAUAACUUCCUUGCGACUGUUAAAAGAAAAGAGGAAAACGUCGCCACUUGCAGCUAGAAAAUAAAUGCUCUCACCUGGAGAAAUCAGGGGUUUGAGUAAAUUAGCAAUUUGCAGCUUGAACCAGCGAUCAGAUUGAUCGGAAAAUCCGUGAAGAACUGAGUCGCGAUGCCAGCGUUUCUUGAAGACGAAGAGCCAAGUGGUAGACCUUGAUCGCAAAUUGUAAUAGCGUACGAAAAUUUGAUCGGAGAUUAAAUCAGAAAAAGAUUUGUUGAGAGAUUUGAUAAAAAGGAUUUCGGGUAUAGCGAGAUUGAGGAGUAUGCGGUGGAUGAGUUCUGAAGGAAGAAGGCAAAAUCCAACCGAAUUUGGCAAAUUUCUAGGAUUUUCCAUCAUGGGUUAAAGGUCAGAGACAUGAAACUUCGAUUAUAUAGAGGCAACACAGGUGGAUUCAUUAAUGAUUAUAGAUUUUUUUUUUCGUGAUUAUGUGAAGGGCUAAUGAAGUGGAAAUUAAAGGACAAAUGAUCCAACAAAGCAUCCCAUGCGGGGGACUUAUAAUAAUAUCGGGAAAGGGACGGUGGAAGGCGGUUGAGACAUUGGAUUUUGUUUUUACGAAAAGGUUGACCUGUGCAUUACAUUCAAUACUUCUAAAAAUAUUAAUAAUUAAAUGAUUAAGAUGAUUUUAAAAGUAAAAAUACGUGUAAAUUAAACAAUUAUUAGGCUCCAGUGGUGAUAGUGACGUGGCCUUUAAAAUGCUUAUGCUGGACAAAGCAGGCAAGGCAAUAAUUAAUUUGAGAGGGAUGAAUCGUGUUGAUGGGUUGAUGAGAGGGACGCUUGCUGGAAAAAUUUAUACAGUGCCCAUGUCGCAACUUAAUAAGUAUAUCAUUUCAAUUAUUUAUUUAUUUUCUAAAACAAUACUGAUUAGUUUUUUAAUGUGACUCGCUAAUUAACUUUUUAUUUUUUGGAUUUAUUUAUAUAAAUUUUCCUACAUAAAAUAUUGUAUAAUGACGCCACUUGAUGUGAACCUUCCUUUAAUGACAGUGGAUUAGAACUUUCUCAGAUAAGCAGGGGUUUUGGUUUUCUUUAAAGAUUGCUUUUGUGGUCAGUGAUGAGUAUGGAAAAUACAUUUGGCUCCUAAGGGAAAAAGUAUUAAACUAUGGAAAGGAAACAAAAAGAUGGGAAUUUAAUUGGUUUUUUUAAUUAUGUCAAGUAGUAUUUAAAGUCCACUUAAAAAUAAGUGGACAAAAGAUUGAAUUCAAGUUCUCCAUAUUGAAUAAUGUUGUUAAUCGAGCUGACUAAACACUUCGGUUGAGAAUUUAAUUGUUGGAUUAUGCUACUCCAAUGAAAUAAAUUUUGCAACCCAAUACUCAAUUUUUUAAGACAGUGUUAAUGAAAUUUCAGAAUAUGUGAGAGCUCAGCUUCGUUUGCGGCUGUCCUUUGUGCUUAUGUGAAGAGUCAAAUUACCUAUCAACCACUAGAGGAUAUGACCUGGGAAGUAAAAUGGGAUUUGAACUUCUUUUUUUUUUUAACACUGUUUCUCUCUAGUCUUUGUGGAAAAUGUGUUGGAUCCCAUCAUCGGUAAACAACGGGAAAAUAGAAGAGUUUAAAAAAGGGGGGAAUAAAUGAGUCGAACCAAAAAUGGGUGAUUUUGGUAGAGGUGAAUCCAUCUGUAGAAGUUCAAAAUACUGUGCUCCAGCUUAUCCACAUCCCUUCAACUGCAAGUACAAGAUAGGCUGGUUUUUGGGCAGCCAUUUCUCUGUCCUGGAUCAAUUCCACAAGAGUUGAUGGGAACUGGCCCAACAAAUUUGUGCCUGAUGGGCUGAUUUAUUCGCGGCCUGCAAGUGAACGGUCCCCACUGCGUUUAGCUCAGCCUGGGAAAUGCAGAAAAUCAUAAAAUUCUAGCUCUAGAUAUUUUUAGCUCUCUGAAACUAACAAAUAAGCGGAGAAGCAAUGGCUGCUCCGCGCUCUCUCCACCACCAAAAUAGACCACCCGUAUACUCGGACAACAUCUUUCUUAGGAAUCCCACAAACUGAACCUCCGGUAUUAAAGCCACCAACCAGAACAACACCAGCAGCCCAAAUCAACCGCAACCAUGUCUUGUUUCCCUGGAAAAAUGCUCCAACAUGUUCCAGCUCAAGGAUAUCCACGCCCAAAUGCUCAGAAUGGCCUAACCCUUUGAAGCCAGUAAAAUUGUGGGCUUUUGCGCUUCUCUGGAAGCCUCCAUUAUGCUCGUCUCGUCUUCUCUAAAAUCCACAAUCCCACACCCUAUACUUAUAAUUAUUCUAGAAAGGAAUUCAGAUGAGAAAUUAUGGGCAUGUCUGGGUAAUUCCAAACAGCUGUACAAUGACAAUUAGAUCUAGGCAAUUCAUGGAAAUAAAGUCGAGAAUUCUCAAGCAAUUUCCCAAAGAACUCAAUCUUGAAAUCUAGCAUUUAUGAGUACAAAAUCCCACAGCCAGCUUCCCAGUAAUAAUGUAAAAUGUGAAAACACAAGACUUCAAGAAAGCAACAUAGAAGAAACCCAAACUGUUAAUAGAAGGCCAAAGCUUUAUCUAUAGUAAAGGAGAUAAAAUAAAGAUAUAGCGUAUGUAAGAGGGAUAAUGUUUUUAAAGGAAGAUGCAUAAAACUUAGAUACUCCUUAGUCUCUAGUACUAGAGAUAAAACUUCCAUUCAUUACGAGAGACCUCUUCAAGCAUACCAAGCUAAAUAGAUUAAGAAAACAGAUGAAAUAAUAGUUCUAAUGCAAAAACUUGCUUACUAGAUAUGCUUCUCCCUUAUUUCUCCUCGUCACCACUAUUUUGUUUGACAAGUUGCCUUUCUUCAUCGCCAUCAUUCUCACUGUUUGUCGGCUUAGGAACAGGCGCAGCUGCAGGUCUACUAACUGACUGCUGAUAGAGGACACCGCCAGCAAGAGUGAAGAGCAGGCAAAGCAAACCAAAUGGACUAGCAUGCUUAUCCCAAAUGAGCACAUUGAUCACAACUGUAAGAAACUUAUUCACCACACCAGUCACAGUGAAUGCUGUUGCAGAUAUUGCCUUUCUUGCUGCAAAUCCAAAGAAACUAAUAGCCAAACCAAAAACACAGGACAAUGAAACUGCACAAAUUGCAUCCAAUUGGAUCCAAUUCCCAGCCUUUGAUCUCAAAGAAGCAAACACCUCACUAUACUCGCCUGUGAGAAUCCAGAACAGCGGAGCCAUCAUCAAUGACAACGAAUUGUUGUACAACACAAGAUCCCAUGUGUUCAAUCCAACAUUUGUCACAAUGUGUUUGAUGUAAACCAUCUCCAAAGUGAUGGUGACUAAAUAAGCAAAUGCCCAAGAAUAGGCUGUCAAAGUAAAAGCAGAAUCGGUGGCUACAUACCCAACAGCACCACCCAAAAUGACAAACAACGACAAGGAAGUAAGCUUCGAUGGGAUGGGUUGUUUUCUAAAUACACUAUCAGCAAUAGCAACCAAAAGGGGCGUCAAGGAUCUGAACACUAUGAAAGUUUCCACAUUGGCAUGGCGCAAAAGGUUGGUAUUUGUAAAGAUUGCAAGGUAGAAAACAAUUGCAGCCGGUAAGAACUUCUUGGCAGUUUCAUAUGUGAAGGGAUCAUGACGCAAAAAUCCUAAUUUGCCAAAAAACCAGACGGCCAACGCAGAGGUCAAAUACUGUAAUGCAGUUAAAAGACCUGGAUAGUUGAAUGUGGUGAUAGCAAACUUAUUAAUCACAGCAAGGAAACUUGAACAGACAGCGUAACCCAAUACAAGACUGCUCGUGGCUAAUUGCUUUGUGGAGUCGACUUUGGCAGAAGACAUUUGCAACCCCUUUGUGCGUUUGAGUUGAUUGCGGAUAUUCUGAGGAAGAAUUUAGUAGAUCGUUGACAAACAAAAGAGGCAAAUAAGCGUUAACUGAGGCAUCUGCGGCCAUUACUAAUGAAUAUGAACUGGAAAACGACUUGAAUGCCCAAAUUCCGAGACAUGGAUAGCUAAAAUCGCGUUGAUCCAUUACAACAAAAGCAGAGAAAUCGAGAGAAGUGAAAAAAAAAAAAAUCAAACGCUGAAACCGCUGAUUAUGAUUAUAAGAGCAGUAACGGCAAAAUAGGGAAAUGAAAUCAAGAAUGAGAAGAGAGAGACAGAGUGGUGGGUGUAUCACCGACACGAAACCGGAGAGAAGACGGGAGACAGAUCGCAGAUCCUGAUUGGUGGCAGUGCAUGGUCAAAUACGUUCUUCGAAUGGAAAAAACAAAAAAAAGUACUUGAUUUUGUGUUCAUUUAUUUCUUCCCCUGUCCACGAGGACUUGCAUUUAAAUUAUUUUCAUUUUUUUCUCCUCUUUUCUUUUUUUUAACAUUUUUUUAAUUCUUUAUUUACUUUCCCACUGUCUUUUCUUAUCAUUUUCUUGUAUUUUUCUCUCAUUUUCUUUCUACCCCACCUUUCCUUUCUUUCAUUUCCUAUCUUCCUUUCCUAUUUCUUUUUAUUACUUUCACUUUCUUUUCUUUUUUAAGUAUUUUUUAUUUUCUAUUAUUUUUUCUAUUUUUAUAUUUUUUUAUCAUCAGGUUUUCUUCUCCCUUUAACUUUGCCAUAACAUUUUCCAUUUUAAUUAACAUAGUAUUUCUUUAUUUGGUACCAUCAUUUUUUCUCUUUUGAAAUAGGUUUUCUCAGUCAUUGUAUUGCUAAUAAUUAUUAGACAUAAAAUAAAAUAUAUUUAUAAUAAAAAAAAUAUUUUAAAUCUCACAGAUAAUUAAAAUUUUUAUUAUUUUAAUUGAACAUUUAUUUAUUAAAAAAUACCAAUAAAUUUUAAACCCGUUUCAGAUUUAUUAGCGAAGUUACAUAAAAUUUUUUUUUAUUACAUAAUUAUGGUAAUAUUUGAUGGUUCAGCAACAACCUGCAUCAUUCAUUACAUUCUAAUUACUGCAAUUACAGCCUUAUGAUGCAAGUAUCUUGUUGGUUAAAUCUAAUUAUAAAGAUAAAAUUCCGAUCGAGGUUUGAUUGUUUCUUCUCUUAAUUGCAUGUUUGACUUAAUUUAUAAAUUCAUCCAAUUAACUUGUCUCUAUUUUAAUCUAAUUUAUUUAUUAAAAAAUAAUUGGGGGCUUGCAAAGAUUCUCAUUAGAUCACUGAAUUAAUAUAGAAUUAUCAAAAUGACGACACCGAGCAGUCAAGUACAUCUCAUCUCAUCAUCUUGCAGAGAUGCAAAACCGUACGAGUUUGGCUUAGAGUUAAUAACCUGACAUCUAGCAAAAAACCCCGCAUGAUAAUAGAUAAUUACUAAUAACAAUUAAUUAACGAGCUAAUUAUGAUGAUUAUGCUGCUGGGGCACAGUCAAAAUCAUCGUCAUCGUCAUCAUCACCCUCCAUGGAUGCAGCAGGCGCAUAGUCAUAAUCUCCAUCGUCAUCGUCUCCAUCACCUUCUAUGCAUGGCGCGGGUGCACAAUAAUAACCAUGUUCAGCUUCAUCGUCUUCAUGGAAAUUGAACCAAGUGGAAAUGGCUCUGGAGACUAGAGACAUUGUAGAAGGUAUAUAUUUAAUUUGGUUCAAAGGAGAAGGGAAAAAAGAGCAAGAACAGGAAUGGAAUUAAUCAAUGGCUAUGGUGGU